AUCCAACACUAUUAAUUUGAAUUUUGAGCAGUAGUCCAAACUUUUGUAUAUUUAUCAAAUGCUCCAAACCAACAAUUGAGAGCUCAAACAACCAUCUAACAAGCUACUAAACGACUGGGUUUGGAUGAAAGUAUAACAGAUUAGAGGCUUAAAUUCCAUUCUCCAGGCUGUUAUUAACAUGCACUAUAACUUUUAAAAAAAGCAC
rnacentral:misc_RNA from 1 species